GAUGAACGCUGGCGGCGUGCCUAAUACAUGCAAGUCGAGCGAACAGACGAGGAGCUUGCUCCUCUGACGUUAGCGGCGGACGGGUGAGUAACACGUGGAUAACCUACCUAUAAGACUGGGAUAACUUCGGGAAACCGGAGCUAAUACCGGAUAACAUGUUGAACCGCAUGGUUCAACAGUGAAAGACGGUCUUGCUGUCACUUAUAGAUGGAUCCGCGCCUCAUUAGCUAGUUGGUAAGGUAACGGCUUACCAAGGCAACGAUGCGUAGCCGACCUGAGAGGGUGAUCCGCCACACUGGAACGGAGACACGGUCCAGACUCCUACGGGAGGCAGCAGUAGGGAAUCUUCCGCAAUGGGCGAAAUCCUGACGGAGCAACGCCGCGUGAGUGAAGAAGGUCUUCGGAUCGUAAAACUCUGUUAUUAGGGAAGAACAAAUGUGUAAGUAACUAUGCACGUCUUGACGGUACCUAAUCAGAAAGCCACGGCUAACUACGUG
rnacentral:rRNA from 1 species